CACGGACUUCGGUCUGGUGGCGAGUGGCAAACGGGUGAGUAAUAUAUCGGAACAUACCCUAGAGUGGGGGAUAACGUAGCGAAAGUUACGCUAAUACCGCAUACGCACUAAGGUGGAAAGUGGGGGAUCGCAAGACCUCAUGCUCAUGGAGUGGCCGAUAUCUGAUUAGCUAGUUGGUGAGGUAAAGGCUCACCAAGGCGACGAUCAGUAGCUGGUUUGAGAGAACGACCAGCCACACUGGAACUGAGACACGGUCCAGACUCCUACGGGAGGCAGCAGUGGGGAAUUUUGGACAAUGGGCGCAAGCCUGAUCCAGCAAUGCCGCGUGAGUGAAGAAGGCCUUCGGGUUGUAAAGCUCUUUUGUCAGGGAAGAAACGGUAGUCUCUAAUACAGAUUGCUAAUGACGGUACCUGAAGAAUAAGCACCGGCUAACUACGUGCCAGCAGCCGCGGUAAUACGUAGGGUGCAAGCGUUAAUCGGAAUUACUGGGCGUAAAGCGUGCGCAGGCGGUUAUAUAAGUCAGAUGUGAAAUCCCCGGGCUCAACCUGGGAACUGCAUUUGAGACUGUAUGGCUAGAGUGUGUCAGAGGGGGGUAGAAUUCCACGUGUAGCAGUGAAAUGCGUAGAGAUGUGGAGGAAUACCGAUGGCGAAGGCAGCCCCCUGGGAUAACACUGACGCUCAUGCACGAAAGCGUGGGGAGCAAACAGGAUUAGAUACCCUGGUAGUCCACGCCCUAAACGAUGUCUACUAGUUGUCGGGACUUAAUUGUCUUGGUAACGCAGCUAACGCGUGAAGUAGACCGCCUGGGGAGUACGGUCGCAAGAUUAAAACUCAAAGGAAUUGACGGGGACCCGCACAAGCGGUGGAUGAUGUGGAUUAAUUCGAUGCAACGCGAAAAACCUUACCUACCCUUGACAUGGU
rnacentral:rRNA from 1 species